UACGAAGGGGGCUAGCGUUGCUCGGAAUUACUGGGCGUAAAGGGAGCGUAGGCGGAUGUUUAAGUCGGGGGUGAAAGCCCGGGGCUCAACCCCGGAACUGCCUUCGAUACUGGGCAUCUAGAGUACGGGAGAGGUGUGUGGAACUCCGAGUGUAGAGGUGAAAUUCGUAGAUAUUGGGAAGAACACCGGUGGCGAAGGCGGCUCACUGGCCCGUAACUGACGCUCAGGCGCGAUAGCGUGGGGAUCAAACAGG
rnacentral:rRNA from 1 species